rnacentral:rRNA from 1 species
UGGUGGAGUGAUUUGUCUGGUUAAUUCCGAUAACGAACGAGACCUUAACCUGCUAACUAGUCUUACUCAUUAAAUGGGUACUGACUUCUUAGAGGGACUAUGUGUCGAAAAGCGCAUGGAAGUUUGAGGCAAUAACA